GAAUACGUUUCAUGGUAUCACAUCCCAUUUCUAUUCUUCCUCAUAGGGUUGAUUUUGUUAUAACAAAAUAACAUCACUCUUCAUGUACAUAAAUGCACUGCUUAGCUUCCAGAAUAGCGCUUGACACUCAGUAAAUAUUUGUUAACUUAAUGACUGGAUUGUCACAAGAUGCCAUGCUCAUUUUUUUUCUCUACACUUAACUGCGUCUUAAGUAACAACAACAACAACAAAAAACCAAGCGUGUGCACACACACACACACACACACACACA
rnacentral:lncRNA from 1 species